rnacentral:rRNA from 1 species
CCUACGGGAGGCAGCAGUGAGGAAUAUUGGUCAAUGGUCGGGAGACUGAACCAGCCAAGCCGCGUGAGGGAGGAAGGUACAGAGUAUCGUAAACCUCUUUUGUCAGGGAACAAAGGCGGGGACGUGUCCCCGGAUGAGUGUACCUGAAGAAAAAGCAUCGGCUAACACGGGGCCAGCAGCCGCGGAAAUACGGAGGAUGCGAGCGUUAUCCGGUUUUAUUGGGUUAAAGGGGGGGGCAGGGGGUCUGUUAAGUCAGCGGUAAAAGCCCGGGGUUCAACCCCGGCCCGCCGUUGAAACUGGCAGUCUUGAGUUGGAGAGAAGUAUGCGGAAUGCGCGGUGUAGCGGUGAAAUGCAUAGAUAUCGCGCAGAACUCCGAUUGCGAAGGCAGCAUGCCGGCUCCACACUGACGCUGAGGCACGAAAGCGUGGGUAUCGAACAGGAUUAGAUACCCGGGUAGUC